CGCGAAUGGCUCAUUACAACAGCCGGUGUUUCUUGGAUCUCUUCUCUACUUGGAUAACUGUGGUAAUUCUAGAGCUAAUACAUGCAAUCAAGCCCCGAACGUGAGUGACGGGCGCAUUUAUUAGAACAAGACCAUCUGGCUUCGGCUAUACGUUGGUGACUCUGAAUAACUGAGCCGAUCGCACGGGCCCGUCCCGGCGACGUAUCUUUCAAGUGUCUGCCUUAUCAGGUUUCGUUGGCGGUUUAUGUGACCGCCAAGCCUGUAACGGGUAACGGAGGAUCAGGGUCUGACUCCGGAGAGGGAGCCUGAGAAACGGCUACCACUUCUAAGGAAGGCAGCAGGCGCGCAAAUUACCCAUUCUUGGCUCAAGGAGGUAGUGACGAAAAAUACCAAGGUGAGGCUCAUCGAGCUUCACCAUUGGAAUGAGAACAAUCUAAAUCCUUUAACGAGGAUCUAGUGGAGGGCAAGUCUGGUGCCAGCAGCCGCGGUAAUUCCAGCUCCGCAAGUGUAUUCCUAUACUGUUGCGUUUAAAUAGCUCGUAGUUGGAUCUGCGUGUUUAGCGCGCGGUGUUGCUUUUCGCAACUACUGUGCCGCGACACAAGACGCUGAUUGCGUAUUUUCGAAUACACUGUCAGCAAGUUUACUUUGAACAAAUCAGAGUGCUCAAAACGGGCGUUUCGCUCGGAUGUUCUUGCAUGGAAUAAUGGAAUAGGACCUCGCGUUCUAUUUUGUUGGUUUUCGGGACGCGGGUAAUGAUUAAGAGGGACAGACGGGGGCAUUUGUACUGCGACGUGAGAGGUGAAAUUCUUGGAUCGUCGCAAGACAGACUACUGCGAAAGCAUUUGCCAAGAAUGUUUUCAUUAAUCAAGAACGAAAGUAACGGGUUCGAAGGCGAUCAGAUACGGCCC
rnacentral:rRNA from 1 species